rnacentral:misc_RNA from 1 species
UUAAGUUCAGCGGGUAGUCCUACCUGAUUUGAGGUCAAAUUGUCAAAAUUGUCCAAGUCAAUGAACGAUUAGAAGCUGAACUUCAUAAAGCUGCUUCACAUCCACGGCGCAGAUAAUUAUCACACUGAUAGCGAUCCGUAAACGUUCACGCUAAUGCAUUUCAGAGGAGCCGACUCGCGAGAGCCCGCACGACCUCCACA